UGAUACUGUGAAAAUGGUUUCAUAUGUUUUGAAUUCUUGAAGUAACACCUUUUAUCGCGACAAAAAUCUAGCCCACCAAAACCCGCAGCUGUAUCACGUAUUUCGCAAACAAUUAGCAGAAGACAAAUAUUGUGCAAAUAUUGCUGUCAACUGUCCAUUUCGUAUUACGGACUUACAACAAAAAAGCAGAUCGCGGACCAUCACUAGUGCUGCCUCUGCAGAGCGAUUUGUGAAACUUUAGUGCAUUCUUUUCCAUACAACUAACAACAACUGGCCUAAAGUCGGUAUUACGGAUGCUUUUGUGUGCCACACAACAGCAGAUAUUUAGCAAUUUCGUUUGUCAAAUUUGCGACACCUUUUGUAUCUGGUGCUGAAUUGUUGCUAACUAUCUGCAAGUGUAAAAUUUGUGAAAUUAAAUUAUUUUAACGUGAUUUAGGUAUGUACUAUGGACAGAGCUCAAAUAAUAAAUGGGGCUUUGGAGUCUAAGGAAAUUAGGUCGGAUACAUACGAAUUAGUGCGUAUGCGUGUCUGUCUUCGUGAUCAAGCCUGACCCCUUAAUCUAUCGGAAAGUUUGUUCAGAACACAUUACAGAAUUUCGAAACAUCAAUAUUUACAAUUGUGCUCUGAAUUAAAGCCGUUAAUAACCUAGAUCAUCAAGACGAACAAGAAUAGAAAGUAAAAUGCAAGGUGUUAACAGCAUUGCAAAAUUUCAUACCAGAAACCUGUGGGAAUGAGCUUUUUGCAUUUUGAGUUAAACUGUAGCAAAUCCAAUGCCAUUAGGGAAGUGGCUAUGGCAUUAAACAAUCUUCCAGUUUUAUUGAAACAUUUAAAGUUUCUGCAAACAGUACAAUGGGUCACAAGUUAUUAUAAAUGGGUUUUACAAUAAAUUUGGCUAUCCUGGGGUUUUGGGGUGUAUAUAUGGCACUCAUUUGCACUUAUCAGAUCUUCUGUAUAUGAAGAAAGGUUUUAGAACGCAAGCAUUAUCAUUUCAAGAAUGUGCAAAUACUAAGUAUUUUGCUGAAGCCUAUCAUUCACAAUAACAAACAUUUGAUAGUACUUAUCUAAAGAAUUAAAUUUUUCAGAUCUGUGAUAGUGAUCUUAACAUUUUAAGUAUUGAUGCAACAUUUCAUGAUACAUUUGUCUGGCUUAUCACAACUGAAUAUGCCUAUGCAGGACCUGCACCAUAAUAGUGAAAAAGUUUUGUUUUUUAGGCAAGUAAAACAUCAUGAGCUCUGUCUCAGUAACCUGACUACAAAGUAAUACUCAAUCUAAAAGUAUAUUUAAAACUGGGAAGGCCGUUAAUAUAUAGUACUAUAGUAAUGUUUAUUGUCAUACCAGGAACACUGUUGACCAUUGUGAGUAUUGAAGGCCAGUUGGAGAUGCUUGUUGGUACAUACAGUACUGCAUUAUGAUCAUCAUAUGAUGGCCAAGACCAUAAUUGUUAGCUUGUAUUGCAUAACAUGGCAAACACACAUGGGUUUCCAGUGCCCCAACUCUCUGACGAAGAUGCUGAAAUUGAUGUUUCUUAUCAAAUUCAUAACAUUGUAUUUUUUGGGAGAGAAGAGUAAACACAGCACUUAGCACCAUGUCAACAUUCAAGGGUGGUUCAAUUGGAUUGUGGAGAACAGACAUUAAAUUUAGUCCAACCUCUGUAUUCUAGUAAUUUUAUGUAGAUAUUUUUAAAACUGCUGUUCUUAAUUAUGUGAACUGAGAGGGCAAGAAUAGCCUAAUUAUUUCUGCCUAUAAUUUUUUAUUUGUGUUUAGUGGAAAUAUACAUAUUUCCUUAACAUUUUUGUGUUUAUAGUAAAGGAUGGAUUCAUAACAAUUUGAAAGCAAAAUUGUGAGGUUGUUUUAUUAAGACGAUGUUUUAAAUCUGUCAUGCUCAAUUUGUUCUGUAUCAUUUUAUCUUUAUGUUAACCCCGUUUGUAUGUUGUGUUGUUAUAUAUAUUAUUGUAUAUACUGCUGUUUUAAAUAAUAGAAUAGAAUGAAUAACAAAUCGACUAGUAAUUCAUAAUUCUUCUAGAUUUUGUUGGAUACUUACAUGAAUAUUACUUACAAAAUGAAAAACAUAAUUCAUAAUUUAGACAAAAUGUGGAUCAACCACCACUCAUUUUUGUUCAUUGUGAUAAUAAUAAUAAUAAUAAUAUAAAUAUAAAUAUUUAACUGGUCCCGUGAUAAGUUCGUAAAGAACUUGUGUUACAGGUACAAGAUAACGGAAAUAAAUGUAGGAUUUUUAUUAUACACAUACAUAUAUUUAAUAUACAUCCAUAACCCUGGAAAAGACAUUUAUAUUUAUCAUACAAAUAUCUUCCCUUGGCGGGAUUCGAACCCGCGACCCCCUUGUGUAGCGACCAUGUCACUUACCACUACACCAGACGGCCGUUAGAUAAGUUUGAUAAUUAUUAUUUUUGUGUAAUUUUGUUUUAUUUGAAUAAUAAUUCUUAAAUUAGGAAA